CCUCAAGGACUGAGCUCACAACUGUGGGUUUAGCAGGCCAACGUGCAAACCACUGAGCUAUGUUCCCCCCUGGAACUGGGAGGGGAACCAGCAAAGAGCAGGGAAGUGACUUGCCCCAGGUCACAUACAAGGUUUGUGACAGAGCUGAGAUUAGAACCCAAGUCUCCUGAUUCCUAGCCCACUGGUCUACCCACUGUACUGUGCCACCCUGAGAGCAUGUCUGUUUCCCCUUUCCUGGUGUCUCAGCCAGUAGACUGACGCCUUCUCUGUACUGUUUGUGGGCUUUUGCACAGUUGUAGCUUACACUAAGAGUCUUGCAGCUAACCCUGGCUUCACAUUCUGCUUACUCCAGUGCAGGUUUCAAACUGAGUUUUAGCUGCCAUCAGUGCAAGUCACUUUUCGACACCAGAACGCCAUGUCUACACUCAGGGUUUGAAGUAAUGCAGUUAAUUACACCUCGCAUAGACCAGGUCUGGGAUGCAGAAUGGCAGUCAUUAGCUACAGAAGGGUGGGGAGGGUACAGAGAGAAGCAGGGAGCCCUAAAGGAAUUUUAAAAACCUUCUGGGCAUCUGCACUUUAGAUGCAUCUUGAUUUUAAAUCCACUUCUGAUCACCAGUGCAAGUCGCUGCCCAAGCACACUUGAAAUUUCUCAGCCCUGGCAAAUCUAUUUUAAAAACCACCUAAAUUAUAUUUUGCUAGUUUGGGGGCUUUUUGGUCUGGCGUUAAAACAUAGGAAUGUAUAGUGGAAAUCCUUGAGAAGCUGAAAACGACCUGCCUUAACCUUUUUGUUUCAAUGCAAAAAGCUCUUCCAGGGGAUGGCGGUUUUAAAUCGACCGGGAUUUUGUAGAACGCCAAUUUUGUUUCCAGUUUGUUCACUGACAUAGUGGCAGCAGCGUGCGACUCAGACUAAACGCUCACUGCAUUCUCUGCACCCAGUCUGCAGCCCUAAAAGCAAGUCAGGGUACUUUGAUCCAGCACACUAGCAGCAACGUUUGGGAGGUAUUUGUUUGACAUCCUGCUGGAUGACAGCUGGUGGGGAGUGCCUGGUCCGUUGCCAAGGAAGAAGGGCAAGUGGCUGGUGACCCAUAAACACUGUGCGGCCUGGCUGUGCUUGUCUGAGCUAACUAGUUACUGCCCAGUCGCUAACCUCCCUUCAGGAGGAUUGGAUCCCUCUCCUCUUGGAUAUGCCAGUGUUGGUCUGGUUAGUGACCUCCACAGGGCAAUGGAGAGAGAGGUCAGGAGCUCAGGCCAAUAUUACUUGGUCUACCAAGAAAUGGCCAAAUGCUUUCAUGCCCUUUUGGAACCUGGGCAGGAACCAGAGGGCAGUGAUCGGUGGACCUUUUCUCUUGGGGAAUGUCCUAAUGGAGGGACGCUGUCAGGCUCCAGCUUGUGUGCCCUCUUGUUUAGCAUGUCUGAGCUUUGGAGGGGGAGAGAGGCAUUCAGACGUUGGGAUGCUGUACGAUAGGCAUGAAAGGAGAAUUCCUGUAACUUAGAAAACUAUUUUAAAGUUCACGACCUAUUGGUAUUUAUCCUUCCCAUAUAUACCCGAUUUGACUCACCUUUCGCCUGCCUAGAUGGGCGGUGACAGACGCCCUGUUAUUAUCUUGGGAAGAUCCCCCUAGCUAUCCGAACCACCCAAGAAAAGCCUUUCCUCACAAGAUCCAUCCCAGAGCCAGUGCAAACUGGACCAAGGCUCUAGGGGCUGGAUUUUCCUAUGAGGGGUCAUGUACACCAGCACAAGGUGGGUGAACAGUCUGAUCUGGUAGUACUCUGCCUCCCACUUUGUAUUGUAACGUAACCGUCUGAAUGCCAAGGGCCAAUCAGGCUGCAGGGCAUUGGUGCCAUAGGACAGCACAGCUCUGAUCUCAGUUCCUCAGUACUGAGUCAAGGACACCCAAUAAUAAGUCCAGCAUCCACCUCACAGAGACUCAGAUCAGGCAGCAGCUCUGUCAUGUGAGCUGAAAGGGAGCCUGCCUUUGGCAGAGGUGCUGGGAGUUGUGCCUGGCUGGAAUUUGCUCUCACGUUGCUUCAUCGGUGGUUGUGUAAGCCUGAGUUUCUGUGGUUAUUUCAAAAUUCCAGUAACGCCCCUUUCAUUGUCUGUCUGCACAGAUUAAAAGGGGUGGCUCUCUGCCUUGGGCUCAGCUGGCAAACCUCAGAAGUUGGCCAAUUUUGAUAUAGUAAGUCAAAAAGCCUGACUGGGACUAAUAAUGUGUUUCAACCUGGCCCCAGGUAAAAUACCCAACUGCUGAGUCUUUACUGUGCGGUUUUGUAGUGGACAUUUCCAGCUCCAUUUCAGACUCACCUUUGAAUCAGAGCUGUCGCGCCGGGUGGGCUAUUUGGAGAUUGCUGGCACUAUGGUGUGAACUGUAGCUAAGAUUAUGCUGCUAUGUUUAAAAAGUGAGUAAUUAUGUAAAAUAAACCCUCUUGUCCUGUUAAGGUCUGGGGACGGACAUCUCAGAGGAUGCUGAGAUGUGGGGAGUUGUCCUUUCCCUGUGCUUCUAAAGUUGUCCUGAUAGUCUCCUGAUAAACAACUGUACGUUGCCCAAUCUGUAACCAGGCAGCUGCUGUGCCUAACAGAAGUCAGGUAGUAUUUCUAGCCCUUCCACUCGCCUGGAUGUUUAAUUCUUGAACUCUCAUUUUCCUUUCCUGGGUGAAAGAAGGAUUUAAGCUCCCAGGACACAAAAAUAAUUAACUUGCUGAGGAUUUAGUUUUUGUUUCCUUCCAGCUUUUUAAAAAUGAUGUUGCAUCUGUGAAUAAAACAGUGUAGGAGUGAAUCGGACCAGAGCCCUGUGUUAAGUGACUAAGGACUGGAGUCUUCUUCCCCUGCUGUCAUCCUGGGUCCUUUUGGGAUCACUAGAGGCACUGACCAGUGGUGACAAGGCAGCUGCAGCUCUCCCUGCCCCUUUGAAGAAGGGGAGGAUGCUGAUUCCUAGGGUGCCUGUGCCCCAGCAAUGGUGAAGCUGCACUGUGGUUGGCAGGGCUCAGGCAUUCUUAGCUGCUGUUUUCUGAGGCUGAACUGCUCCUGCAUGGAUUCCAACCACCAAAAAGGGCAAACAAAUUCUCUGCAGGAUGGAAGCCCUGAGAGACUGUAAACCCUGUGAGAAUUUUGAGGUCCCUGGCUAAAGUACUAGGUCAGAGGCUUGGGUUGUAGGGUUCUUCCCUCAUAGAUACGGAGAAGAGGCAGUGAAGUGAAUGCUGGAAUGGGUUGAACUUGAAUGGCCCUUCCACCUGGCACAAGAUAGUAAAAAUUAACAGUGCAGGAGCACUUCAGAUUGAGAAGUCAUUUGUGGCACCUGCUUACAUGUAAAUAGUCUCUUAUUAAGUGUCACAUCUUUGGUAAGAGUCUAAUACCCAUCUCACAGAUCUAAACACUGCCUUGGGAAAAUGGAAUACAGCUCGGGUGGAGGGGGAAACAUACCAAGUACUAAAAAUAAAGCCACACCAAUUA